CCCUAUGGGGUGCAGCAGGCUUUUGCCGGAAAGGGGCUGGACUUUGUAACCAAGACCUAUCUGCCGGAUAGGCUGACGGAGAUGGGUAUCAUCUGAAUGAUCAUCGACUUUCAUGCCCACAUCUAUCCUCCGCCAGUGGCAGCCAAGAUCCUGCCCGCGGCCAGAAGAAAGCUGAAGGUAGAGGUGCCGGGAAGCGGAGCGCCCCAGGACCUCUUGGGGCACAUGAGCCGUUCCGGGAUCGCAAGAUCGAUCCUCCUCCCCCUGGCCAAAGGCAGAGAGGACGUCUCCAGACUCAACGACUGGAUCCUCUCCGUAUCCGGAGAAGGCCUGAUUCCCUUUGGAGCGAUCCAUCCUUUUAUGGAGAACCUGGAGGCGGAGCUGGACCGGCUUGACGACUGCGGCGUGCGGGGGAGC
rnacentral:rRNA from 1 species